ACGUCAUAGAGAAACUUUCUUGCUAAAUUUAACAAAUAGUUCAGAUAUAAUUUCUGUCUCUGUUAUCUAUAUUGAUUGAAAUACGAAACAUAUGUGAUAUCGCAUGAGUCUCGGUCAAGUAUGUUUUCCGGUAAUAAAUCUGAUAAGGUCAACAAGAGACCUUCUAGAGAGAUGUUGUCUGCACGGAAAAGUCGGUCUUAUCAGCCUUCAUUGCAAAAGAGCGACAACGGAUCGAAAGAUCAGGUGAUACGUACCACCAACUUUUUGAGGCGUAAGGCUAUAGAUUCGAUCGACUCAAUUAAACGCAAACUCGAAAGUAUCCAAGGAAACUAUGACGAACGCUAAAAACUACUUUUGCAUAUCGUCAUUAUCUCAGUUGUCCCGAUUCCUGUCCGAAUCCCCGACUCGAUUCUUGUCCCGAUCUUCUUUUCUAUCUCGAUCUCCUAUUCUCGAUCCGCUAUCUCCGUCUUUGUUCCGAUCUUCAAUACAAGAGUGGAUAAAUCAACAAUUCGAUAAAAUAAUAGAAAUUUACACGCUGGAAACAAAUAAAUUUACACGCCAGAGAAAUUACGACCGAAAAGGGUAGGUAUGACUGAUACCAGUGUCACUGUACGCAUUGUAUGUGCUAAAGAGCGAACUGAACCGACUGAAAGAAGGUCAUUUAAGUUUACGGCAUUUCUUUUCUCGGAUACAAAAGUUGAAAAAAUUGCUGAAAAGGCAAUUCGAUGACAUAUAUUCACGAAAUACCAUUAAGAAUAAGAGAGAUAUUUUCCAGCCUUCACUAGAAAAUCAGUCUCCAUUGACUGUGAAUAAGAGCUACAACAAAAUAAAAGAUCAAGAGAGAUAGAGAUUCAUUUUAGCGAUGAUAAUAGGACGUCCAGAGUGACGAUGAGUGACGAGAAUUUUGAUGAAUAUUAAUUAGGUUUGACUACUCUGUGUAGUCCUAUCUCGACCGUUUAAUGGAAUCAAGAUUAGCCAAGAAAGAUAAUGACGAUUAAAGGCAUAGGAAUUUCGGACGUUAAGAUAUACUCCCAAUUGCGGAAAUGUUAUAAAAUAAUUCAAAUAAGACAAUUCAAAGAGAUAAAAGUGUUCAAAUGGUCAAAAAAUGAAAUAAAAACGAGUUUAAUCCAAAAUAAAAUAAAGUAAAUUUUACU